rnacentral:lncRNA from 1 species
GCCUCAAGGUCCUGCUCUUCGCUCUCGCUCACGUCCACGGGAGGCUGAUAGGUAGGAACGCCCUUCUCUUUCCAACCGGCCCACUCAUUACGGCUCCGAGGCACGACAGCGCGCGAAAGGGGCGAGUAAACAAGCGAGCACAUCUCGCGUCCAUGCACGUAACCCUUCCAGAAACCAUUGCGUUUGGAGUCCGCUAACAGGGUGGCGUGGUCCUUUUUCAGUCCAGCCAAACGGCCCUCGAAGUCGGGAAGAAAGGCCUUGAUAAAGGCGUCCUUCGCAGCAGCAGCCCGAGUCUUCUCUUCCUCCGCAGCACGGCACAAGUCGGCGGCCAGGAGGUCACGCUCACGCUUGACGGCGUCCAGCUCGGUCCUCA